CCAACGGACCCAGGAGCCUGGGGCUGCAGCGCGGCGACCUCGUGGGCAGAGCCAGAGCAUGGACAGUCUCUUCGUGGAGGAGGUGGCGGCCUCCCUGGUCAGGGAAUUCCUCAGCAGAAAGGGCUUAAAGAAGACGUGUGUGACCAUGGACCAGGAACGCCCACGCUCUAACCUCAGCAUAAACAGCAGAAAUGAUCUCCGAAAGGUUUUGCAUCUUGAAUUUCUCUACAAGGAGAACAAGGCAAAGGAAAAUCCUCUAAAAACAAACCUUGAACUCAUUACCAGAUAUUUUCUGGAUCAGUUUGGAAAGACUGCUAACAAUUUCACUCAAGAAACUCCAAUCCCUGCACUCUCACUUCCAAAGAAAAAUAACAAAUUACCAUUGAGAUGCUCAGAGACCACGCUGGUAAAUAUAUAUGACCUUGCAGAUGAAGAUACAAGCUGGAGAACAUCACUGUCAGAAACAAGCAAAGCCAGACAGGACAAUCUUGAUGGGGAUGUACUUGGUAAUUUUGCAUCGUCCAAAAGGCCCUCACACAGAAGUAAGCCCGUGCAGACUGUCCCAGCUGAAAGCCCCCCUGUGGCUCCUGCUUGGGAGAAGAUGGACAAGCUGCAGCUGUCAGAGCCUUCCUUGGACACAAAAAGGAUGGGAGAGAAGAUCAGGCCAAAGUCUGGCCUGAUUGUCCGAGGCAUGAUGGCCGGUCCCAUCGCCAGCUCCUCACAGGAUUCCCUCCACAAACGCUCCAUGAAGCGGUCCCCGGCCUUUAGCAGCCGGGCCCAGGCGCAGGAGGAAGGGAGCCCACCAGUGCCCGAGCUCUCAGCUCACACCCCACCCUGUCCCGCCCCGCAGGAGGGCCGGGCUGCAGGCACCGGAUCCACCCCCAGGAGCCCCCUGGACCCGCUCAGUCAGCUGACCUCGGAAAAGCGGAGAACCUCGCCCAGCAGCCCACCUCACCUGCCAGGCAAAGGGCUGCCCCAGAGGGGGAGUGGCAGGUGGCGAGAUCUUUUAGAGGACAGCCCAGCCGUGGACUGCGGCCCAGAAGCAGACAGGACCGCCUUGAAGUUCUCCUUCUUUGGUGGGAGUGCCCGAACGAGCCAGGAGAGCCCGGAAAGAGCGUUCAAACGGCAGGGGAGCCAGCCCCCGGCCCUCAGGAGAAGUCAGUUGCCAGUGUCCAACAAAGUCGACAACGAGCCAGGUGUUCUGCAGCUUGAGGAUGUGGAGGAUGAACUGGUCAGGGAAGAAGUCAUCCUGUCUCCAGUCCCGUCAAUGCUCAAGCUGCAAGUAGUGUCAAAGCCCAUCGACCUCUCAGUGGCAAAGGACAUAAAGACCCUUCUGUUUGGGUCCAGCUUUUGCUGUUUCAAUGAAGAGUGGAAACUUCAGAGUUUUUCCUUUAAUGACGCAGCCUCGUUAAAAUAUGGCAUUGUGCAGAACAAGGGUGGUCCCUGUGGGGUUCUGGCAGCUGUCCAAGGCUGUGUUCUACAAAAACUCCUGUUUGAAGGAGAUAGCAGAGCUGACUGCGCUCGGCAGCUGCAGCCUUCGAACGCCCACAGGACCCACUGCCUGGCCCUGGCCAUCGCGGACAUUGUGUGGCGGGCUGGGGGCCAUGAGAGAGCUGUGAUCACACUGGCUUCGGGAACACAGCAGUUCAGUCCAACAGGGAAAUACAAAGCAGAUGGAGUCUUAGAAACACUCAUCCUCCACAGCUUGACCUGCUUUGAGGAACUGGUGACUUUUCUUCAGCAGAGUGUCCAUCAGUUCGAGGCAGGACCCUACGGAUGUGUCCUGCUCACCCUGUCGGCCAUCCUGUCCAGGUCCACAGAGCUCAUCCGCCAGGACUUCGACGUCCCCACCAACCACCUGAUUGGAGCACACGGAUACUGCACGCAGGAACUUGUCAAUCUGCUCCUGACCGGGAAAGCUGUGUCCAAUGUUUUCAAUAAUGUGGUCGAGCUGGACUCUGGGGACGGGAACAUCACGCUCCUCAAAGGCAUCGCCACGCGCAGUGACAUCGGCUUCCUGUCUCUCUUUGAGCACUACAACGUGUGCCAGGUCGGCUGCUUCCUGAAGACGCCAAAGUUCCCCAUCUGGGUGGUGUGCAGCGAGAGCCACUUCAGCGUCCUCUUCAGCCUGCAGCUGGAGCUCCUGAGUGACUGGAAGACCGAGAGGCUUUUUGACCUGUACUACUACGACGGCCUUGCCAACCAGCAGGAGCAGAUCCGGCUGACCAUCGACACCUCCCAGACCAUCCCUGAGGACAGAGACAGUGACCUCGUCCCACCCCUUGAGCUCUGCAUCAGAACCAAGUGGAAGGGGGCGUCGGUGAACUGGAAUGGCUCAGACCCCAUCCUGUGACCCUUCAUGUUGGGCCAGGCCGCUCCAGCUGAGCGACCGAGUGGAGGAAGUCGGUUUCCCCGCAGCGGCCUUGUUUAUCAGCCUGGGAAGGAAAAGUGUGUCUUUUCAAUAAAACACUUAACCUCCUGACCAGGGUCCCAUUGCCGGAGCUGGAGAAAUCAAAAUAUUCCCAGCGUUGCUUGAGAAGACUGGUUCCAACAAAUUACAAAAGCACUUUUCUAGAAGCCAAGACAUAGGUACAUGUGCAAUAUGACGCCCCUUGCCUGGAAUUUUCUGUAAAGGAAGAUGAGCAAAGUCCGGCACCACCCUCUCCCAGGCCCACAAGCCAGAAUGAACCCAAGGUACUGCUGCCAAACCUGCAAGAAUGAAGUAGAGGCCCUGCCUCUUCGCACAUGGCGGUCUCCAUCUGGGCCGAAUAAUUUUCUAGGGAGACUGUCAAUAAGCCUCAGAGGGCCCAUAACUCCCCCUCCAAAUUAUAUUAAAAUCUUUGUGCACAUGUACAUUUGUGUAAUUUUCUAAGGAGAGAGUCUAUAGCCUACCUUGUGGCCUUGGACUUGGAACAACGCCCCACUCUCUGUGAAAGGUUAAGAACCAUAUCCUAGAGCUGAGUGGCCUCUCAAGGGCUGAACCUGGGCUUGCCUGCUCCCUCUCUGGCCUCUACAUGCACCAGGGGCCGGUUUACUGAAAAAAGCAGAACUCAAUGGGUUGCAAGCAGGAAGCAGCUUUAUUCCUUCUUAUUACAGUUGACACCUUGUAUCCGUGGGUUCUGCCUCUGUGGAUACUGGAGGGCCAACUAUGGGAUUUGAGCAUCUGCAGAAUUUGGUACCCAUAGUGCAUCCUGGAACCAACCCCCCUCGGAUGACGAGGGAACGACUGUAUUUCUCAUUGGAUUCUCUCUUUCUCUUGGCCAUUUGUUUCUUGGUCUCUGUGUGAAAGAGAAGGCUGAUUCCACUGUUCUUCCGGCAGUGUGAACAGUAAGACCAGUCUGCUGGCAACACCUAGCCCCAUACUCUUAUCACUGAAAAGUGCCCCCUCCCCCUGCUCUUAUGGGGACCUCUUACUCAUAGGGGUCUUUCCUGAGUCAGCUGAUUCAUCCUUAGGCUGCUGCUUAUGGACGCUCCCAACACCUGCCCCCACCCAGCUUCUGGUGGAGUCAACCUCCCUCCUUCCCCUUUUAAGAAGACAGGAGUCGUCCUUCUGCGGGAUCCACAUUUGAACCAAGCAAAGGACCGAUGCAUCUUUGCCUCCCAAAUUCUGGAAGUCAGACCUUUCCCACCUCAGCCUGCCUGUCAGCUCAGCCACCCCUCAGGAGCGCGACAUCUCACCGUUCUCAGGAGGUCCUUGCGAGCUGCUGGCCUCUUCCGCUGCCUGCCCAGUGCUUUCCUCGCCUUUUCCCACAGCCAGAGGGCGUGAUGGGCCGUCCUCGGCAGAACCAUCUGCACCUCUCUGCAGUUCUACGUGGCAGCGACACAGCCUCGGCUGUUCAAAGUCCUGAGACCAGUGGACCUGAGACCAGCAACAUCACCUGGGAGCUUAUUAGAAAUGCAGACUCUUGGGCCCUACCCAGACCUACUGAAUCAGAUCUGCAUUUUAACAAGAUCCCCAGGGAUCUUGGGGACAGGCAUCUUCACCUUAAAGUCUGAGAAGCACUGAUGGAAUCCUCAAAUGCCUUUGGAGAAGCUAUAAAAGGUAGGUGAAAUAAAACCUGUAAUGAUUUUCCCCUUUCCUACCCUGAUUUUCUACCAAAGAAAUUUGCCUUUGCUGCAGCCCCAUCCAAGCCUGACCCCACCCCUUCAAACCAGCCCUGGCUCUGAUUGUGGUCCUCACUUCUGCUCUCUGGCAGGGUCAGAUCACUGAGGGGUAUGGGAUGGGAGCCCUCUUGGGUUGUCAGCUGUAGGAUGAAGUGUGUGGGACUCUCCAUGAACCAACUAUCUGCUCCCUCAUGGACCAAGGUCAUCCUCCUACACUGGUGGGCUCUCAGCAGUGGCCGCUCCUGGCCACUCCUGGGGUAAUGGAAUUGUCUUGGCGUGAUCUUACUGGGCUUGGGCCCCUCAUUGCCACCAGGAUGAAGCAGGAGCACAGAGGGCAUGAGAGA